CGAGUCAGUGGUGCGUGGCGAGGCUAACCCGUCGUGGGGGAGCCGUAGCGAAGGCGAGUCUCAAAAGGCGUUUUGAGUCGCGCGCCCUGGACCCGAAGCGGGAUGAUCUAGCCCUGAGCAGGUUGAAGCGCGGGUAAGACCGCGUGGAGGACCGAACCCACCUGGGUUGAAAACCGGGGGGAUGACUUGGGGCUAGGGGUGAAAGGCCAAUCAAAUUCCGUGAUAGCUGGUUCUCUCCGAAAUGCAUUUGGGUGCAGCGUCGGGUCAUUACGUCCCGGGGGUAGAGCUACUGGAUGCUUGCGGGCCCGUAUCGGGUACCAACAGCAACCAAACUCCGAAUACCGGUGACGCGUAUCCCGGCAGUGAGUCGGCGGGGGAUAAGCUUCGUCGUCGAAAGGGAAACAGCCCAGACCGUCGUCUAAGGUCCCGAAGCGUGUGCUAAGUGGGAAAGGAUGUGGAGUCGCAUAGACAGCCAGGAGGUUGGCUCAGAAGCAGCCAUCCUUGAAAGAGUGCGUAACAGCUCACUGGUCUAGUGGUUCCGCGCCGACAAUGUAGCGGGGCUCAAGCACACCACCGAAGACGCGGCAGUAUUUUGUACUGGGUAGGAGAGCGUCCCAUGAGGGGCGAAGCGGCCGUGUGAACGCGCCGUGGACUUCAUGGGAGUGAGAAUGCAGACAUGAGUAGCGAGAGACGGGUGAAGAUCCCGUCCGCUGGAUGACCAAGGGUUCCAGGGCCACGUUCAUCGUCCCUGGGUGAGUCGGGUCCUAAGGCGAGGCCGACAGGCGUAGUCGAAUGGAUGAACGGGUCGAUAUUCCCGUACCGGCUUUCAGCCGCCAAAACCGAGGCUUGGAGUACUAACCUCCGGGUCCGGGCUUACUGCUCCUUCGGGGGCGGGAUGCCCUGGCCUGUUGGGACCGAUCCUUGUAGUAGGUCAGCGCAGGAGUGACGCAGAAGGGUAGCCGGCCGCGGAGGUGGUCUUCCGUGGUCAAGCACGCAGGGCGUGGGACAGGCAAAUCCGUCCCGCAUGGGUCCGAGGUGCGAUGAUGGGGGCCUUAUGGCCCGAUAUCCGGUGAUCCCGGCUGCCGAGAAAAGCUUCGGCGUCAGGCUCGAAGCCGCCCGUACCCCAAACCGACACUGGUGGUCAGGUAGAGAAUACCAAAGCGAUCGAGCGAAUCCUGGUCAAGGAACUCGGCAAAUCACUCCCGUUCCUUCGGUUUAAGGGAGACCCCCGAUGGUGAACACGCUUGCUGUGGGAGCUUUUGGGGGUGGCACAGACCAGGGGGUAGCGACUGUUUACCAAAAACACAGGUGCAUGCGAAGGCGCAAGCCGCUGUAUAUGCACUGACGCCUGCCCGGUGCCGGAAGGUUAAGAGGAUCCGUCAGCCUUCGGGUGAAGCGGUGAAUUCAAGCCCCGGUAAACGGCGGUGGUAACUAUAACCAUCCUAAGGUAGCGAAAUUCCUUGUCGGGUAAGUUCCGACCUGCACGAAUGGCGU
rnacentral:rRNA from 1 species